GAGUUUGAUCAUGGCUCAGAUUGAACGCUGGCGGCAGGCCUAACACAUGCAAGUCGAGCGGUAGAGAGAAGCUUGCUUCUCUUGAGAGCGGCGGACGGGUGAGUAAUGCCUAGGAAUCUGCCUAGUGGUGGGGGAUAACGUUCGGAAACGGACGCUAAUACCGCAUACGUCCUACGGGAGAAAGCGGGGGAUCUUCGGACCUCGCGCCAUUAGAUGAGCCUAGGUCGGAUUAGCUAGUUGGUGAGGUAAUGGCUCACCAAGGCGACGAUCCGUAACUGGUCUGAGAGGAUGAUCAGUCACACUGGAACUGAGACACGGUCCACACUCCUACGGGAGGCAGCAGUGGGGAAUAUUGGACAAUGGGCGAAAGCCUGAUCCAGCCAUGCCGCGUGUGUGAAGAAGGUCUUCGGAUUGUAAAGCACUUUAAGUUGGGAGGAAGGGUAGUAACCUAAUACGUUGCUACUUUGACGUUACCGACAGAAUAAGCACCGGCUAUCUUCGUGCCAGCAGCCGCGGUAAUACGAAGGGUGCGAGCGUUGUCCGGAAUUACUGGGCGUAAAGAGCUCGUAGGCGGUUUGUCGCGUCGUCUGUGAAAUUCUGCAACUCAAUUGCAGGCGUGCAGGCGAUACGGGCAGACUUGAGUACUACAGGGGGAGACUGUAUUUCCUGGUUGUAGCGGUGAAAUGCGCAGAUAUCAGGAGGACACCGGUGGCGAAUGCGGGUCUCUGGGUUAGUAACUGACGCUGAGAGCGAAAGCGUGGGUAGCGAACAGAUUACAUACCGCUGUAGUCACGCAGUAACGAUGAGUUGCUAGUGGUCGCAUGCAUGCAUGUCCGAUGACGCACUAACGCAUAAGCACUCCGCUGGAGGAAGUACGUCGCUAGAUCAACUCAAGUAACUGACCGUCGCAAGCGGCGGACCAGUGAUUACUUCGAAUGCAACUGA
rnacentral:rRNA from 1 species